UCAAUAUGUAAACAACGUAGUUUAAAGCUAUGAAUUGAAAUACAUGUGCAUUGGUUAUGAUUCAUUAUCAAUUCAUUGGAACAUAACUAAAUUCAAAGUAUAAAGUGAAACUCAUGAGAGGCCAUGCUACCAUCAGAAAAGUGUUUAAAUAGAAACAAAUGUGGUAAAAUGUUUACAUGAGACGCAACCUUUGACGGUAUUUAGAGUGAGGUGGAUGUAUGUAUAUUGAAGUGACACACUACUCUAUAAUCUAUGAUAGAUAGAAGAAAGUUUCUUCUUCUAUAAUCUAUGUGUUAGGACAUAUCCUUUUGAGCCGAAUCGUCUUUUGAUAUUUCGCUAGUGUGAUAAACAGUUAAGGUAUCAUUUUACGUUUCGUGUUUAGUAAACAACUGAUUAACAUGCAUAAAUCAGUGUUGUUGUAGACAUCACCUCACUCAUGGCGACGUACAUUAUGUCACCAAUGUGACGAAACUUAAAGACAGUUUACAAAACUCAGGGAACAAAACCCAGAAGAGAACAGUGAUUCUAUUGUAUAACUGAUAUGCUUCUCCUUAUAUUAGACUGAGUCUGGUGAGGCAACACUAUCAAAGAUCUAAACAGACUGAUAUUCGGCUUUUUACCAAUGUCCAUAUAUUCAUUGAUUGACCCGAAACGAAAAUAAUUGGUAUAAGUUAGUAAGCGAAAAUCGCUUUAAAUACCACUAAAGGGACACAUAUUUAAAGAGGAUGAGCCUAAACAUGUUGAUAUUCGGGUCGUACAAAUGCCACCAGGACCAUGAACACAGAACGGAAGUGGACAUGAAGGAAUGCAAUGAUAUGGAGCAACAACGGCUUAUUUUGAAAUGCUAGGAAGGAGAGAAAUUCUUUUUUCUUUGAGGAAUUUUCUUUGAACAAGUUAUUUUAAUUUCGGUCGUGAGAUGGAAUACAAGCUUGAAGCACAGAAAUUAGUAGACCAGCGAGAGAAAGAGAGACAUAAAGAAAAGAUGGAAGCAUUGCAGCUCAAUAUAGAACUGGAAAGGAUGAAAGAGCAAAC